AUGGGGUCGCACAGAGUCGGACAUGACUGAAGCUACUUAGCAGCAGCAGCAGCAGCGGAGGGGCCUUGUGUGGUCAUUUCCAGACUCAGGAGAAGAUGGGCCUAAGGAGCACUGGAGUGGUUGUGGCAGCAGGACAGGCUCCCGGCUAGAACUCUGCAUUCUUUACAUUCCUGGCAUAUGUCAAUCCAGUUCAUUUUUAUCCGAAGACUGUGUUAUUGGUUCUUUCAGCUACAAAGCACUUGUGGCUUUCUGGGUGACUCAUCACUGGCUGGAGUGGGGCUGCCUGCAGCGCUGGUAAUGGACUAAACUAGCCUCUCAGAGCUGGUACUGAGCCAGGAGUUCCAUUCCUCGAGGAGCUGGG